GGUGUGAUGCAGGGGAUGCUGCACCAUGAUGGAAGAGGAAGGAUUAGCACUUUCACCGUUGGCUAGUGGUAUCUACUAACACUCAUCCUGAUCUAUAUAUCACUGUGUCCCCAGGAGUCUGUUGCCUUCUGUUCUUCCACCUUGAGCCCCAAUUAGGGGCACCAGCCAGGACAUGCAGAAGGGCUUUCAGAGCCUGCACAAAUCUUCUCUAGCUGAACAGAGGAA